UACGUAGGGUGCAAGCGUUGUCCGGAAUUAUUGGGCGUAAAGAGCUCGUAGGCGGUCUGUCGCGUCGAAUGUGAAACCCCGAGGCUCAACCUCGGGUCUGCAUUCGAUACGGGCAGACUAGAGUUCGGUAGGGGAGUCUGGAAUUCCUGGUGUAGCGGUGAAAUGCGCAGGAUAAUCAGGAGGAACACCGGUGGCGAAGGCGGGACUCUGGGGCCGAUACUGACGCUGAGGAGCGAAAGCGUGGGGAGCGAACAGG
rnacentral:rRNA from 1 species